GCAUGAUUCAUGACUUUAGGUGGAGCAGUAGUUCUUUUUCUUCCUUUUAAAUGUCACAUGAAGCUAUUUCCUUAAGGCUUCUGUUGUUAGGAAAACAUAUCCUUGAACACACACAUGCAGAUUAACAAAUAGAUAGAGAAAAGCGAACAUAAGAACUUCUUGUGGUUCAGCAAAUGUGCUUAUAUCCACGGACAACUGCCUGCAUUUUCAGGAAGAACAUUAUAACAUUAUUUAUAUUGACCUAAUCCUUAU
rnacentral:misc_RNA from 1 species